rnacentral:rRNA from 1 species
CCAGAGAUGGAUUUGUGCCUUCGGGAACUGUGAGACAGGUGCUGCAUGGCUGUCGUCAGCUCGUGUUGUGAAAUGUUGGGUUAAGUCCCGCAACGAGCGCAACCCUUAUCCUUUGUUGCCAGCGGUUAGGCCGGGAACUCAAAGGAGACUGCCAGUGAUAAACUGGAGGAAGGUGGGGAUGACGUCAAGUCAUCAUGGCCCUUACGACCAGGGCUACACACGUGCUACAAUGGCGCAUACAAAGAGAAGCGACCU